rnacentral:rRNA from 1 species
CACGUAGGGCGCAAGCGUUGUCCGGAAUUAUUGGGCGUAAAGAGCUCGUAGGCGGUCUGUUGCGUCUGCUGUGAAAACUCGGGGCUUAACCCCGAGCCUGCAGUGGAUACGGGCAGACUAGAGGUAGGUAGGGGAGAAUGGAAUUCCCGGUGUAGCGGUGAAAUGCGCAGAUAUCGGGAGGAACACCGGUGGCGAAGGCGGAUUCCUGGACCAGUUCUGACACUGAGGAGCGAAAGCUAGGGGAGCAAACAGG